CAGAGUGGUAAUCAGCCCAACAAACCAGCCCAGAGGUUUGCUUGCUUUAUCUUAAGCAUUCUGAUCCUUACCUUGGCUGUGUUCCUGUCUCUCAAGGUUACUGCUCUGGAGACCCUGGCCUGGUCCUGUCUGGUGGAUAAAUACUUAAGUGCAUUUAUCACUGCUCAAAGCUCCCCCUGGUUUCCCUGGACCAGCAAACACAAGGAAAGGGCCCCGAACCCGAGAAACGCAGCUUCUGCUCAAUGCUCUGCCUGUCCACCCUCAAACACUCACCUCCUGGAAGGAACUCCUCGCAGCUUCCUCCAGCCUGCCAAACCCGGUCACUGUGGCUUACUCACCUCUCUCGGAACAUCUUCUUCCACUCCCAGGGCUUUGACCUGCUGUGGCCUGACACCAGCUGAUCCAGGAGCAGUCCCUGCCUGAUAAUGAACUUGUCUGAACUUUCUCUCUGUCUCCAUGGUGGUUGCCUGCACUAGAGUCUCCUGGUCCCACACAAUUUCACACUCUGAUAUGUAGACCUAUGCCAAGUCCAGUGGACAAGGAAAGGUGUGGAUAUGUAAUCUGGCAGUAAAACUGCCCAACCACUGGUUAUAACUAAAUCCUGUGGCUGUAGUGUUGUUUUUACUUUGUAAUUGUUCACAAGGUAAUCUACAGUGGCAGAAUCAAAAAUGGGAUCUGCUUAAUUUUUAUUUUUUUAUUUACAUCUUGUGAAAGUUGUAAGCAGUAUUUGAACAACAUACAUUAAUAUUCACAUGUUUAAAAAGUAAACCUCACUCCUAAUGUCUAACAUCAUUUGUCCUGAAUGUUAGCAGAACUAAAGUUGUGGUGUUUUCCAUAAACCUGCAGCAACAAUUCCUCCUUAAAAUAUUGAGUGACUAUUCCGGUUAAGGUGUUCGUCUUUUUUUAUGUUACAGUAGCAAUACUAUUGAGUUAUUUUGUUUUGGAUAUAGCAUUUUAAUUCAUAUCUGUAUGUUUUGCACAUGUAAAUAUGCACAUGACUUGUUGAAAUAUAUAGAUUCAUAUUUAAGGGUUAAGCAAUCAGUAUCUUAACAAGAUUGUGUAUUUCUGAAACGGAUUGUUCAAGAGGUCUGCAUGUGCGCCGCAGAGCGGCUAUUUCCUGUGCAUGGGAAUGAGAUUUGCGGUCAUCUGUGUACUCCAGCAUUGAGUGAGCUGAGAUAUUGCUGUGGAAUCCAAAGACCACUGCUGUAUUUCUUGUAUUUGACCUGAUGUCAUGUAGUUUAUUUUGUGCACUUAUUCUGUUAAGAGAUUUGCCACAUUUCAUCUGUGGUUGCCUAAAAUAUGUUCUGGUUGAGCAAAAGAUAAGACAAGACAGCUUUGUUUAACCUGUUUUCAGUUGAAAAAUAAAAAAAUACUGCACAUUAA